GGUUAACGAGGAGGUUCCCUCCUUCCAGCGUGGAUGAGCCUUUCCGUGAGGGUGACCGGAAAGGCGCCUGGGCUGGUGACGGUGUCAAGUGUAGGCAAGAAAUACGGCUGAUCAAGAAGCGACUUGACCUCCCUCGCACAAGACUGAGUCCCUUUGCGGCAGGGGCCUUCCCCGCCGCGAACCCUACUUGGAACCUUGCGCCAUGCGAUGUCUCUCUAAUUCUAGGCCACGGAAGCCCUGGGUCACCCUUUCAGCCUGGUUCUCUCCGGUGGUGCUGGCGUGUUUCUCCUGUCUGUUGGGGUCAGCUGCGUCCAACCUCGGCUCCUGCAGGAUUGCCCGGGCAACCCAGAGGAGAUGGGUGGGCGUGGAGGUCCUCCCUGGAUGACCCUUCCCACCAUUUCAACAUCAUUAGGAAUUUAACAGGCUUUUGCAAGAAGGCCCGGGUACGCAUCCCCCCAUUUAUAGUAGGAUUUCCAGGACAAAAUGUAUUCCACUCUCUAAACAACAAGCAACACGUAUACAACCCAUUCAUAAGAGCUCCUUUGCUGUCAAGGAGUUGCUGCAAAACAGUAUGCGGAAAAUGGAACAGUGAGGAGGGGUGUAGCUGAAACGAGACUGGCCAUGAGUUGUCUCCCUGCUUCCUGGCCUUUCUAUUUAAAAGCACCCAUCUUCACCUUCUCCCAAAGUCUCUGGAAGUUUUACAGACAGCAUCUUUCUAGCCUCGCCCUGCGUCUCUUUCUAGUCAUUUGACUGAGGCUGAACAAAGCCCAGAUGGGAGUUUCAUUCCCUUCACCUCCCCCAACUCCCAGCGGAGGGAGGCUGGCCCCAGACACAGGACACAGCUUCCUGACCCUGCAGGCAGGAGCCUGGCUUGUUGGUGAGUGGGCCUCCUCAUUGCUGCUGGAGUUUUCCAUCCUCAUUCCACAACAAGCCAAGUCAGCAAGUUGCUGCCAGGAACCUUCACACCUUGUGCUUUGGGAUCUGAGGGGAAACACACACACACCAGCACCACCCUCCCUGAGCCCGGGAAUGAAGCCAGCAUCAGCGGAGAGCAACCUACUGAGGAAAAUGAUGGAGUAAUUCCCUGGGCACACUUCAGGCAUGGUGCCAGGUAACAGGCCCUGCCAGGGGGUGACAGAGGUGGUACCAUGGCAUGUCUGGGGCCUGCCCCGAGACACCAGCUGGCAGCAGCCACACUCUGUCCUUAGCAGCACUCGCAGCAGUCCAACACUUUGGUUGUCACGCAAGACACGCUGUUUCUGACAGGAGGCCGCAGCCGGGUAACACGGGCAGAUGCAGAGGGCACUGUCCUGCGGCGCUUUUUUGAAAGCACGCCAUUUUUCUUCCCUACCCAAUUAACUUUCCAGAGACCCAUCCCGAAGGACUGGAUUCAUCACUAGAACCAACAAGAUGAGGAUUUGUAGAGCCGGCUGCCGCGCCGCCGAGGCUCCUAGUGGGUUAUCUGCGUGGCUUGCCUGACCUCAGCAGAAAUCCACAGCGCAGGGCCCAGAGCUGUGUGAGCACCUGCAAUUGAAGAAUUCACAAUUACAAGUCGUGUGUCUAAAUUGGCAGACUUUCAAGAAAGUCCCACCAAUCUUCAAGCAUACAGCCACCAAGGGCCACGUAAAAUGUUUGUGGCUUUAAUAUACAGUUUCAUUUGCUUGAAUAUCAUCAGCUUGGGUGCAGAUAAUCAAAGAAUGGCUCAGGAUGGAGAAUUUAAUACGAGAAUUCGGCCAGGGCUGCCAAGCCAUAUAUGUGCUAAUGUUGCAAUUUCAACCUUGGACUUAAGGUCAAGAUUAAUUUAGUGAAAAAUAUUAUUUCACGAUGUAACAGACACCUUCUGAGUUGGAGAGCCGAGGAAUUCCGGAGGAUGGAUGAGGCAUGGGUGUGUCUAGAGACCUCAUGGCAAAAGUGGCUGCAUUGCCCCCCUCAAAUGUUAGUUAAUAUUUGGGCACAUUUGAGAGAUAACAACAUAGGCAGAUUUUUCUUUAACUUUUUAUUAUGGAAAAUCAACCAUACGCUAUAUUAGAAAGAACAGUAUAGGAAGUGGAAAACUUUUUCUUUACAGGGCCAGAUAGUAAAUAAUUUUGGUUUCCCAGGCCAUAUGUUCUCCGCCUCAACUAUACAGCUCUAUUGUCACACAAAAGCAGCUAUCGAUAGUGUAUAAAUGAAUGAAUAGUGAUGUCUUCUAAUAAAACUUUAUUUGUGGAUGCUGACAUUUGAAUUUCACAAAAUUUUUACAUGUUAUUAAUAGUCUUCUUUUUUCCUAACGUUUGUACCAUUUAAACAUAUAAAAAUCUUUCUUAGUUCCCAACCCUUGCAAAAACAGCUGGUGGGCUAGAGUUGGCCCGCAGGUCACAGUCUGCCCAGCCCGGAAGUACAUAGAAGGACCCCCAUCCCCAACACCAGGUUUCAACAAAAGUCAGCUCAUGGCCAAUCUUGUUUCAUCUAUUCUCCUAUCCUUUUUUCCUCUCCUUGGAUUCUUUGAGGCAAAUCCUCAUCAACAAAUUAUUUCAUCCAUAUUCAUAUUUCAGUACUUAUCUCUAAAAGAGGAUUCAAAUUUUAAACAAAAAAGUACAAUAUCAUGAUCACAUCUAAAAAUUUUAACAAUUCCAUAAUAUCAUCAAAUAUCCAAUCAAUAUUCAGUUUUUCCAAUUGUCUUAUAAAUGUUUAUUAUUAUAUAUUUUAGAUUUUUCCCCCAUUCAAUUUAUUUGUUUGAAUCAAGAUCUAAAUAAGAUCAAUAUGUUGCAAAUAUAUUGCAAUUGCUUGAUAGAUCUCUUAAGUCUUUGUUGUUGUUGCUGUUGUUGAGACAAGGUCUCACUCUGUCCCCAAGGCUGUAAUACAGGGGGCCAGAUCAUGGCUCACUACAGCCUGACCUCCUUGGGCUCAGAUGAUCCUCCCACCUCAACCUCCCAUGUAGCCUGGAUUACAGGUGUGCACCACCAUGCUUGGCUAAUUUUUAUAUUUUUUUGUAGAGAUGGGAUUUCACCGUGUUGCUCAGGCUGGUCUUGAACUCCUAGGCUCAAGUGAUUGGACCUCCUCGGUCUCCCAAACCACUGGGAUUACAGGCAUGCAUCACCAUGCCCAGCUUCCUAAGUCUCUUUUAAUCUGUGAGUUUCCUUUCCCACCCGCACCUCUUUUGUACACAUUAUUUGUUGAAGAAAUUGUGUGGUUUGUUCUGUAGGAUUUCCUGGAGUCUGGGUUUUGCUGAUUGCAUCUCUGUGCUGUUAUUGGAUGUGUUGCUUUGUCCUCUGUAUUUUCUACAAUACAACAGUAUUUUCUGCCAAAUGGAAGUUAGAGCUAAAUGUUUGAUGGCAUUCGGGUCUUAUUGUUGUCUUGUUUUUAGGUAAGAUUACUUUACAGGUGGAACUGUGUUCUCCCAUCAGAAAGCACACAUGUGGUUGCUUCUCUUUUUCUGAUGCUAGCAGCCAUUGAUAAUUAUGGCCUAGAUUCAUUACUUAAAAAAUUAAUAGACUUCAUUUUUAAAUCAGUUUUGAAUUUAUAAAAAAGUGAGCAGAUAGUACAGAGUUCCAAUAUACUCCCUUUCAUACACAGUUUCAUCUAUAGUUAACAUUUUGCAUUAGUGUGAUAUAUUUGUUGCAGUUGAUGAACCAAUGUUGAUCCAUUCCUAUUAACUAAAGUCCAUUGUUUACAUUAGGGCUUACUGUUUUAUACGGUUCUACAGUUCACAAAUGCGUAGUGACAUGUUUCUACCAUGAAAGUAUCACACGGGAAUAGUUUCACUGCCCUAAGAAUCUCCUGUGCUCCACCCGUUCAUCCAUCCUUGCACCUAAACCCCUGGCAACCACUGGGCUUUUUACUAUACCUAUAGUUUAGCCUUUUGCAGAACAUCAUAUGGUUGGAAUCAUACUGUAAGCAGUCUUUUCAGAUUUAUUUCUUUCACUUAGCAAUGUGCAUUUACGAUUCCUCCAUGUCCUUUUGUAGCUUGACAGCCCACAGUUCUUUUCAGCACUGAAAAAUGUUUCAUUGUAUGGAUGUGCCACAGUUUGUUCCUCAGUUCACUGAGUGAAGAACAUCUCGGUUAGUUCCAGUUUUCGGCAACUAUGAAUAAAACCUCUAUAAACAUUUAUAUGCAGAUUUCUAUGUGGACAUAACUUUUCAGCUUAAAUAGGUAAAUAUUAAGGAGCAUCAUUGUUGGAUUGUUUGGUUAGAAUAUGUUUAGCUUUUUAGAAACUACCAAACUAUUUUUCAAAGUGGCUGUACCAUUUUGCAUUCCUACCAGCAAUGAAUAAGAAUUCCUUCUAUCCCACAUCCUUGACAACAUUUGGUAUUACCAGUUUUUUGGGAUUUGGGCCAUUCUGAUAGAUGUAUAAUGAUGUGCCAUUGUUGUUUUAAUUUGUAUUUACUUCACGACUUAAGAUAUCAAUGGAAUGUCUUUUUUAUAUGCUUAUUUGCUAUCUAAGUGUUUUCUUUAGUGAGGUUUCUGUUCAGAUGAAAUUGAAUUUUUUUCAUUGUUGAGUCCUAAAACUUCUUUGUAUAUUUUAGAUAUAAGCCCUUUGUUAAAUAUGCACUUGACAAUAUUUUCUCCCAGUCUGUGGCUUUGUCUGUUCAUUCUCUUAAUAGUGCAUUUUACAGAGCAGAAGUUUUUAAUUUUAAUAAAGUCCACCUUCCCAAA